GGGCCCGUAGUUCAAUUGGUAGAACGCGCCCUUGGCUAGGGCGAGGUUUCGGGUUCGAGUCCCGACGGGUCCA
rnacentral:tRNA from 1 species